CUACUUACCCGGCAGGAGCGAGACCAUGAUCAAGAAGGUGGUUUACCCGGGCAAGGCUCAGCCAUUGCACUCCGGUUGUGCUGACCCUUGCGAAUUCCUUAAAUUUGGGAAUCCAGUCUGCAUAAUUUGCAGUCUGUAUAAUUCGACUGCAUACACA